GGAGAGAUGGCUGAGUGGCCGAAAGCGGCUGAUUGCUAAUUUGCUGUAUAGAAAUAUACCGAGGGUUCGAAUCCCUCUCUCUCCG
rnacentral:tRNA from 1 species